rnacentral:rRNA from 1 species
UACGUAGGUGACAAGCGUUGUCCGGAUUCUGGGCGUAAAGAGCGCGCAGGCGGUCGAUCAAGUCGAGUGUGAAAGCCCCCGGCUCAACUGGGGAGGGUCAUUCGAUACUGAUCGACUCGAAGGCAGGAGAGGGUAGUGGAAUUCCCGGUGUAGUGGUGAAAUGCGCAGAUAUCAGGAGGAACACCAAUUGCGAAGGCAGCUCGCUGGGACGUGACUGACGCUGAGACGCGAAGCGUGGGGAGCAAACAGG